GUGGAUUUGAAGGAUUCGUCUGGCAUUUAUGUCGAAAAAGUCAUCUCAAGUGUCUUUUGUGGUCUCCACUGAAGAGAGCUCUGAUGAGAGACAAUCCUCUUCUGAAUCCUCAUUCUGCUCAGAAGAUUCAGCUUCAUCAGGUUCAACUCUAAUUCUGGAAUCCACAAAGGCAUGACGACGGCAGUUGAUGGACCAGUUGAUCCCACUACAGUGAGAGAUAUAGUCAAAGUAGCGCUUCACUCAAAGCCAGGUGGUGACCAGAUAUUUCAGGAUUAUCACAAAACAAGUGGCCUUUCUGAUGGCACUAGAAGAAAGAUGGUGAAUAUACUUGUAGCAGAUAUGGUGGAAGGCCAUUGGGAGGAUCCUACCUGUAAAUGUCCGCAUUUCAUAUACCCUUGGGAUAAUAACACUUUUCCCUCACCUGAAGGAUUUGGAUUCAGUAAAUGGCUAUGAGCACUACUAUGAUCCUCAAAGUGGGUCCGGUUACCUGGCCUGGAGACUGAAAACAGUUCAGCACAACUCAGCAAGCCAGGGAAAGAGCGGAAGUACAUCCAUCAUGAGAUGCCUGUUUGUGGAGAGCAGUUAUCUGGUAUGAAUGUAAAGAGGCAAUGUCCCUGAUGAACCACUCAGCUGACAAAACAGUGGUUAAGGACAAAAUGAAAGCAACAUUUAAGCACAGACAUGAUCCAGAGAAGACUUCAGUCAUCCUAGACCUCUUCCCUUGAUUUCUAGAUACAACUGGCUUGGUUGCCCAGGAUUUCACUCUGCUGUUUGGAGAGGAAGUCUCAGGAAGAUUCCUUGUGAAGUGGCCAACAAUAGUCAAGCCCAAGAUAAUUGCAGACUGCAAAACCAUACCCUCUAAUUCACAUGUGGAUGAUCUUCUUGCAUUAGCAAGAAUCUGAUCAUGAUAGGAAUGAGCAUGGUGACCUUUCUUAAGAGAAGUGGAUCAGCACAGCGAUAUCUUCUGUGUGUUGGGGAAAAGAAGAACAGCAUCCACAACUACUACAUCAUCCUGGACCAGAAAGCUCAAAGCCCCUUGUGAGGCCAAGACCACUGUUGCAGCUUUUGACGAGCUCUUCAAGGCACACUUUGUGUUUGCUGUGUCCUAUGAUGAAGCCUUGAACAACCUCUUCACAUUCAUUCAAACCACAGUGUAUAGCAUUGAUGUGGGUAAGGCUAAGAGGAGUCCAAGGGUCAAAGAAAUUCAAGUGAGGCUUCUUCGACGUGACCUUUGAAGCCAUUUAUUUUGCUGAACAAUGUGGACCUGUUUUGUCUGCAAAGUACAUCAAAAAAACUUCAUUGUUAUUUCGCCAUUUGAAGUUUGAGCAUGGUUUAUGUCCUGGACGUUCAUUACGUUUAAAACGUGGAGAACCUGGGUGCUCAUCUGUUUUUUGCACUUAAAAAAAGCACUUGUUACGAGUACAUACAGUGCCUGUUUCUGAUACAGUUGACCAUUUAGAGGUUCAUGAGAAUGUUGUAGCUUGUGGUUUGCAAUCAGUAAAUGAGGUGCGUCACAGUACAGCCUGCUAUUGAAAAAAAAGGCAUUUGUUGGAUAUGUGUAGCUCUGUUGUUGCUCAGGUGCAAGCAUCUGGAAUUCCUGAAAGCAUGGUACAAUGUUUGGUUGGU